rnacentral:rRNA from 2 species
UGCAGUCGAACGAACUCUGGUAUUGAUUGGUGCUUGCAUCAUGAUUUACAUUUGAGUGAGUGGCGAACUGGUGAGUAACACGUGGGAAACCUGCCCAGAAGCGGGGGAUAACACCUGGAAACAGAUGCUAAUACCGCAUAACAACUUGGACCGCAUGGUCCGAGCUUGAAAGAUGGCUUCGGCUAUCACUUUUGGAUGGUCCCGCGGCGUAUUAGCUAGAUGGUGGGGUAAUGGCUCACCAUGGCAAUGAUACGUAGCCGACCUGAGAGGGUAAUCGGCCACAUUGGGACUGAGACACGGCCCAAACUCCUACGGGAGGCAGCAGUAGGGAAUCUUCCACAAUGGACGAAAGUCUGAUGGAGCAACGCCGCGUGAGUGAAGAAGGGUUUCGGCUCGUAAAACUCUGUUGUUAAAGAAGAACAUAUCUGAGAGUAACUGUUCAGGUAUUGACGGUAUUUAACCAGAAAGCCACGGCUAACUACGUGCCAGCAGCCGCGGUAAUACGUAGGUGGCAAGCGUUGUCCGGAUUUAUUGGGCGUAAAGCGAGCGCAGGCGGUUUUUUAAGUCUGAUGUGAAAGCCUUCGGCUCAACCGAAGAAGUGCAUCGGAAACUGGGAAACUUGAGUGCAGAAGAGGACAGUGGAACUCCAUGUGUAGCGGUGAAAUGCGUAGAUAUAUGGAAGAACACCAGUGGCGAAGGCGGCUGUCUGGUCUGUAACUGACGCUGAGGCUCGAAAGUAUGGGUAGCAAACAGGAUUAGAUACCCUGGUAGUCCAUACCGUAAACGAUGAAUGCUAAGUGUUGGAGGGUUUCCGCCCUUCAGUGCUGCAGCUAACGCAUUAAGCAUUCCGCCUGGGGAGUA